UCGGAAAAUAGCUCAGCUUGGUAGAGCGCUACGUUCGGGACGUAGAGGUCGCAGGUUCGAAUCCUGUUUUUCCGAU
rnacentral:tRNA from 1 species